rnacentral:rRNA from 1 species
AAUACAUCGGAACGUGCCUAGUAGUGGGGGAUAACUACUCGAAAGAGUAGCUAAUACCGCAUGAGAUCUACGGAUGAAAGCAGGGGAUCGCAAGACCUUGUGCUACUAGAGCGGCCGAUGGCAGAUUAGGUAGUUGGUGGGAUAAAAGCUUACCAAGCCGACGAUCUGUAGCUGGUCUGAGAGGACGAUCAGCCACACUGGGACUGAGACACGGCCCAGACUCCUACGGGAGGCAGCAGUGGGGAAUUUUGGACAAUGGGCGCAAGCCUGAUCCAGCAAUGCCGCGUGCAGGAUGAAGGCCUUCGGGUUGUAAACUGCUUUUGUACGGAACGAAAAGCCCUGGGUUAAUACCCUGGGGUCAUGACGGUACCGUAAGAAUAAGCACCGGCUAACUACGUGCCAGCAGCCGCGGUAAUACGUAGGGUGCGAGCGUUAAUCGGAAUUACUGGGCGUAAAGCGUGCGCAGGCGGUUUUGUAAGACAGAGGUGAAAUCCCCGGGCUCAACCUGGGAACUGCCUUUGUGACUGCAAGGCUAGAGUACGGCAGAGGGGGAUGGAAUUCCGCGUGUAGCAGUGAAAUGCGUAGAUAUGCGGAGG